AGCAGUGUGGCUCAGUGGAAAGAGCACGGGCUUGGGAGUCAGAGGUCAUGGGUUCGAAUCCCGGCUCUGCCA
rfam:Ornithorhynchus anatinus chromosome 15, whole genome shotgun sequence.